ensembl:lncRNA
GAAAUGUCAACAAAGCAUUGUGGUUUCUGCACUUGCUCGAGCUCUUGAAAAUGGCAAACUGACAGAUGAGAGCAAACCUCUCUACCAAAUCCACCCUCUUCCCAGCAACAGAUGCUACGGCACGCUCACUGAUCCAGCCGUGCUGAAGUCCCGUAAUUAAUCUCCUAUUACUCUCCUCGACUCUCCAUCAUGCAGGUCUAAUCUUCCGCUCUCCUGUGAAUGUGCAUGAGGCAGAGCAUCUUAUCAGCUGCUGAAGCGGCACCUUCUCUACAGGCUCCCAGCAGAGCUGGUGUUAUCCUGGACCCCUACCAGCACUAGAGCUCUCAACCAACAACUGAUGCCAUAGAUUCAUUCAGAUAUGUGGCCGUUGCUGCCGAAUUGCUGUGUUAAGCAGUAAUAGACACCCAAGAGAGGUGAGGAGAGGUCAAAACAUCAAGUGGCUCAACAGCCACCACUGUCAAACUCACUGGACUACAAGAAAGAUUUAAAAAGCCACAUGUACAAACAGCUCAAAUUUGGAAUAGUGAACACCCAUCGAUUUCAGAUUGAAUCACAACAAGUUGCUCUGUAAGCUGUGUUUUUCUGUUUCAUACA